AUUGAACGCUGGCGGCAGGCCUAACACAUGCAAGUCGAACGAGUGGCGGACGGGUGAGUAAUGUCUGGGAAACUGCCUGAUGGAGGGGGAUAACUACUGGAAACGGUAGCUAAUACCGCAUACCAUCAGAUGUGCCCAGAUGGGCUUAGAGAGGUGGUGGGGUAACGGCUCACCAAGGCGACGAUCCCUAGCUGGUCUGAGAGGAUGACGAGCCACACUGGAACUGAGACACGGUCCAGACUCCUACGAUAGGCAGCAGUUGGGAAUAGUGCACAAUGGGCGCAAGCCUUAUCCAGCCAUGCCGCUUGUAUUAAGAAUGCCUUCGGGUUGUAAAGUACUUUCAGCGGGGAGGCGUUACCCGCAGAAGAAGCACCGGCUAACUCCGUGCCAGCCGCCGCGGUAAUAC
rnacentral:rRNA from 1 species